rnacentral:rRNA from 1 species
AUACGGAGGGUGCAAGCGUUACUCGGAAUCACUGGGCGUAAAGGACGCGUAGGCGGAUUGGAAAGUCAGAUGUGAAAUCCUACAGCUUAACUGUAGAACUGCAUUUGAAACUUCUAAUCUAGAGUAUGGGAGGGGGAGAUGGAAUUAGUGGUGUAGGGGUAAAAUCCGUAGAUAUCACUAGGAAUACCGAAAGCGAAGGCGAUUUCCUGGAACAUAACUGACGCUAAGGCGUGAAAGCGUGGGGAGCAAACGGGAUUAGAAACCCUUGUAGUCC